rnacentral:rRNA from 1 species
GACGAACGCUGGCGGCGUGCUUAACACAUGCAAGUCGAACGAUGAAGCCGGUGCUUGCUCCGGUGGAUUAGUGGCGAACGGGUGAGUAACACGUGAGCAAUCUGCCCUUGACUCUGGGAUAAUUGCGGGAAACUGUAGCUAAUACCGGAUACGACACCUUGGGGCAUCCCAGGGUGUGGAAAGAAUUUCGGUCAAGGAUGAGCUCGCGGCCUAUCAGCUAGUUGGUGAGGUAAUGGCUCACCAAGGCGACGACGGGUAGCCGGCCUGAGAGGGUGACCGGCCACACUGGAACUGAGACACGGUCCAGACUCCUACGGGAGGCAGCAGUGGGGAAUAUUGCACAAUGGGCGAAAGCCUGAUGCAGCAACGCCGCGUGAGGGAUGAAGGCCUUCGGGUUGUGAACCUCUUUUAGCAGGGAAGAAGCGAAAGUGACGGUACCUGCAGAAAAAGCACCGGCUAACUACGUGCCAGCCGCCGCUGUAA